UGGCCAUAUAGUGUUAAAAGAUUGGUUCCCAUAUGAUCACUGAAGUUAAGCAACAUUGAGUCUGGUCACUACCUAGAUGGGUGACCAUUUGGAAAUACCAGGUGCUGUAAG